CCUCUAGCUAGUUCUACAGCAGCUGCACCUUCGGCUUCGUGUUUUGACAUUUACCUAUCAUCCUAUGCCUUUAACUAUAAUCCUGAUCUUAACCACAUCAUCUAUUGUAUAGAAGGUCAAUCUACCCGUUUGUCAUCAUGGCAAGUACUAGCAAAGGAACAUCCUCGUCAACUCCAAUGCAUAAGGUAUGCUGUCCUGCCCAUCCACAGGCUAACCUGAUAGAAGACUCUCAUGCAGGAGAUCUUAUCUGCCCAGAUUGUGGUUUAGUAGUAGCUGAUAGAGUGAUAGAUGUAGGAUCUGAAUGGAGGACAUUCAGUAACGACAAGGCCAAUGCUGAUCCAUCCCGUGUAGGGGCAGCAGAGAAUCCUCUCCUUGAGGGCAACGACCUGUCAACGAUCAUUGGUGGACCUCUAGGAAAUGCCAGCUUCAACGAAGAUGGAACUAAGAAGUAUCGAUCAAAGUCAAACUUGAGCUCUACAAACAGGACUCUGGUAAAUGCCUUCCGUGAGAUUGGAGCCAUGGCUGAUCGUAUCAACCUACCAAAGACUAUAGUGGAUCGAGCCAUGACCCUCUUCAAGCAAGUCAAUGAUCAGAAAACAUUGAGAGGUAGAAGUAACGAUGCCAUAGCAGCUGCCUGCCUCUAUAUUGCAUGUAGACAAGAAGAAGUGCCAAGAACAUUCAAAGAGAUCUGUGCUGUGUCAAAGGUGAACAAACGUGAGAUAGGUCGCUGUUUCAAGCGGAUCCUCAAGGCUUUGGAAACAAAUGUAGUGCUAAUUACAACCAGCGAUUUUAUGUCCCGAUUCUGCUCAAAUCUAAGCCUACCUCCUAAGGUACAGAGAGCAGCAACCCAUAUAGCACGCAAGGCUGAUGAUCUAGACCUAGUAGCAGGACGAAGCCCAAUAUCAGUGACGGCUGCAGCAAUAUACAUGGCUUCACAAGCAUCAGAGGAAAAACGUUCACAAAAAGAAAUUGGUGAAAUUGCCGGUGUGGCAGACGUCACGAUACGGCAAUCAUACAAGCUGAUCUAUCCGAAGGCACAUGACCUGUUCCCACAAGACUUCCAGUUUGCUACAAAGAUUGAAGAUUUACCGCCUCCUUGAUAAUCCAACACAUCUAUUAUAUCGCCCGUAGUCUGAACUCUGGAAGGGGUUUCAUAAUGCUGUUCCCAAGUUACCAACGACUGUACAAUUGACUGGUGAUCCUUUCUUACAGACUAGAUCAACACUAAUGAAAAUAUGGUGUGUUGUAUCAUUUACCAUAAGAAAGGAUCACCUGUCGUUUGUUAAGUUGGACAGCUUUAUUAAACACCCACCUGAUAUGAUAUUAAUUUCGGUUUUAACUAUUGAUUGCAUAAUGUGACACAAUCAACAGCAUAUGUUCAAUUUUUCAGCAGAUUUUACACUAAAGUUUUCUUCACUUUAAAAGCUAGAGGAAAGAACUCAGAAAAUGCAUUAUUUUAGAUCAGAAUAUGCAAAACUGGUAUUACUGUACCUACAUUAUCUAAGUUGAUUUUUGCCUAGAGCCGAACAGAUUUCUCCGGUUCAAAGAGAAUUGAUUUAUGAUUGUGUCACAUAUGGCUACCCAUAGUUUUCUUCCGAUUUUCAACCAUAGUACUUGAUACACCUAAUCUUUGCAAUUAUGGCAAUUUGACUUUAUAAACAUUAAUUCCCACCCCAAUAUUUGUAGAUUAAUCGUAACUGAAUGAUAUUUUUUGGGUGAAAUUAAUUAAUCAUGGUUUUUAUUGCAGAAGGUACUCUGCCUUUAAUUGGUAUCUGAUCUUCAUGAUCAAUACUAUCCAAUAGCCCAUCAAAUAAUGGCCUUUUGGGGGAAAUGACCUGCUAUAGCAUGGUAGCCUAUGAUGGUAAGUCCAAUGUGAUGUGACAUAGGAUGUUCCAAAUCAAGAGAUACUAAGACAUAAUAUCAAACCAUUGAGUAGUCUAAAUUGUUGAUUGGUCUACAACCAUGUUGUCUACGACCUGUUUGGUCUCAUCCCAGGUGGUCUAAUUACAUUUGUUUUCUACAACCAGUUAACCCUUUGGUCCAUUCUAAGCCACUUAGUUUGAUUACCAUUUGGUCCAAUACAAUUUAGCUCACUGUAUAUGGUUAGAUGGACUGUAUAUGAACCAAACUUUCGUUUGAUAAAGUAAAUUAUAUAUGAGCAGACAGAGUGGUAAUUAGACCAAAUCAGCAUUAGAUUCAAUGAAGACUUUGUAGACAGAAUGGCAAUGAGAUCAAUUUGAUAGUAGUCAAAAUGAGACUUAGAUUGCUUGUAGACCAAGUAAAAAUAUACACCUUAAGAGCGUGACAGUCUUGGUGUAUUGAUGGUGGAAAUCCCUCGCUCAGACCAAUGGAAAAUAUACACCUUGAGAGAGUGACAGUCUUGGUGUAUUGAUGGUGAAAAUCCCUCGCUCAGACCAAGUGAAAAUAUACACCUUAAGAGCGUGACAGUCUUGGUGUAUUGAUGGUGGAAAUCCCUCGCUCAGACCAAGUGAAAAUAUACACCUUAAGAGAGUGACAGUCUUGGUGUAUUGAUGGUGGAAAUCCCUCGCUCAGACCAAGUGAAAAUAUACACCUUGAGAGAGUGACAGUCUUGGUGUAUUGAUGGUGGAAAUCCCUCGCUCAGACCAAGUGAAAAUAUACACCUUGAGAGAGUGACAGUCUUGGUGUAUUGAUGGUGGAAAUCCCUCGCUCAGACCAAGUGAAAAUAUACACCUUGAGAGAGUGACAGUCUUGGUGUAUUGAUGGUGGAAAUCCCUCGCUUCAGACCAAGUGAAAAUAUACACCUUGAGAGAGUGACAGUCUUGGUGUAUUGAUGGUGGAAAUCCCUCGCUCAGACCAAGUGAAAAUAUACACCUUGAGAGAGUGACAGUCUUGGUGUAUUGAUGGUGGAAAUCCCUAACUCAGAUUAUGAGUGAGGAAAGUGUCUAAACUGAGUCAUGAUUCCAUGAUAUUUGCUCCGAUGACAAUUGCUCCUUCGGUGACUGGACCCAGUAAGGCAAACAACAUUAAUCCCUAGUCCUGUUCAUAAUCCUUACAGAAUUCUGAACAUAUAACUUAAUCAUUAUCCAUUGGACAUUUUUUAAUAUACGCGGUAAAUUAAGCGUAAUUCAUACAGGAAAUCUGUAUAAACCAUGGAUUCAACCGUUGGUUUUCAAAACCACCUUUGUGAAUUCGGGUCUAUAUCUCCAGAUAAUCGAAGGCAGGAUCAGUUGUCCAGGAGAGAAUGUUUGAUAAAGAAUAUCCCUCCCAUGGGGACAUCAUGAUAUAGUGGUGAACUCUCGUCUUUCAAUCUGAGGGACAUGGGUUCGAUUCCCAGCCAUGUCAUGUUUUCCUUCAGCAAGAAAUCAACUCAUAAUCCUGCUAUGGAUCAAUUUGUAAAUUGUAUAAUUGGUCUUAUAGCCCUUUUGCAAAUACAUGUGCAUUGUAUUAUUUUUUACCAUAACGUUUUUUCAAGUAUUGUAUUUUCUUGCGUGUUUAAAGGUAAAAGACAGUAUUUUCAGCAAACAAUUAUUUUGUUAGAAAGUCUUAUAAAUCAAGGUUAUUUAUCAGAAUAUUGUCAUAUAUCUAGAUCUGGUACAUUAAUGUAAACUUAUCUUUGUAAAUUCAUGAAAUUUUAGCUCAAAGUCGAUCAUUCUGAUGAUCACUAACACAGAAAAGCAAUAUGUGAGACAGUGUGUUAAUAUUGCUUCGAAAAAUACCCCAUAUUUGAUGGAAUUCCGUGCUUAUUUUGCUAAUUUCUCAGCAAUUAGGCAUUUUCUUCAAGAACUAUUUGGCACAUUUUUUAAAAUUUAAACAUACAAAUGCUUUGGUGGAAAUUUCAUUGGAUUCUGUUCGAACUCAUUUUGAGAUCGUUACCAGAACUGGUAUUUAUCUAUGAAUUUGCAGAAAAUAAUGAUUUCUUGAGAAAGUCUUUAAAAUCAAGAUUUAUUGUCACCAUAUCUUUGUAGCUCUGGAUCUGGUACAUUAUCACAAACCUAAUUUUGUGAAAUCAUGAAAUCUCAGCUGAUACAUGAUCAUGAUCAUCACACGUAAAAGCACAUAUGGGACUAUUUAUAUUAUCAUUCUGAGGAAGACCCUACACCUGGCAGGAAUACCAUGCUUAUUUUGCAUAUUUCUCAGCAAUCAUAUUUCUUACCAGAAUCAUUUGGCUUGUAUACAAUCAUGUGGGUGGGCAUUCUAUUGGAUUCUGUUUAUAGUCAUAUUGAGACCAUUACCCCACUUGUUAGUGGUACCCGGCAGGAUGUGGAAGUUAUUGUAGCUUGUCCAAUAUUGUGUGCGCCUCACCUGCGACUGAUUGGAAUACUCCCCAGGGAGUGGAGGAUGUGCACACAUUGGGUUGUGGGAAUGACAGAUUGAAUCCGAUGAACAGGUAAUAAUAUAUCUGUAAAGCACUUAGACAUGUCGUUCCAAUGUAUAAUGCGCUAUAUAAAAGCGGAUUAUUAUUAUUAUUAUUACAUUAUUUCAUGAAACAAAUUUUAUUGUAUGCAGCUCUCUAGCCAUGAAAUUUGUAUUACUAUAUUACUUGCUUGAGAGGCCAUAAAAUAUGCAUUGUUUCAAUGAUCAUGGCAAUUACUGAAUAGCAUUUGCUUACAAGUACAUACCCAGACUUGUUGCUACUCUUGUAAUGUCAGAGAAAACACAGAUGCAUUUUAGCCGCGUUGUCUUUGCAAUCUGUGGAAAUUCAGAAGGGAUUUAACAAAUUUUUCCACCACAAAUCCAUACUGCCAACCUGUUCAAUAAAACAAAAAGUGCACAGUUUUAAUUUGUGAAAGUUGGGAUGUUGUAGGCAUCUCCAGUAUUCAUAAUGUUAUGAAAAUGAACUUAGUGCAAGUGUCAAGUCACUACAUGUAAAUACCCUCCAGUGAAUUGCAUCGCUGUUAACAUGCUUACAUGUACAUCUGUGCAUAAUGUGUAUAAUAAUUUUUUUUUUACCUGGUAGCCUUCAUUAUAAUAUCAAAAGAUUGUGACCUUUCCAAGAUAAAGCUUUUAUAUGAAAAUAUUUCCAUUCAGUAUGGCUUUCAAAAUUAUAUAUUGAAUAUCUUUUUGAUUGAUGUUGACUACAUGUCUUUUUAGAAUGAUUUCAAGUUUGUAAUAGUCUUCUGAAUAGAAAAAGGCAUAUCAGGCUCCAAUAUUUUAAAAUGUGAAUGUUUUUAGGCUAGUAGCAUACAACAACUACAUGUAUAAUCUCAAAACAUAUACAUAUAUGGACUUAAACAUAUUUUCCUGUUACAUUGUGGUAUAAUAUAUGCCACAUUGAAGAAAAAUUAGAGAUCAUUGAUAUUCCUUGCAUUUUUUAAAUUAUUUUUUUGUUAAAUAUUUUCUGUGUCUCACUGACUGACUGAUACCUUAUAAGAUAUACUGAUAUAUUCAAGAUGUUGCAUGAAGGCAACAGAAUAUUUAUGACAAUGAAAAUAGUCAGUUGCAAAUUUGAAUAAAAAAAAAAGCAUAAUAUGAUUGGAAUAUUGUCAUGGUAUUGAUAUUAACAAAGUAAAAUAAAAUUAUGAAUGAUUUGAGAAAGCAA